rnacentral:rRNA from 1 species
AACGAACGCUGGCGGCAGGCUUAACACAUGCAAGUCGAGCGCCCCGCAAGGGGAGCGGCGGACGGGUGAGUAACGCGUGGGAAUCUACCCAUCUCUACGGAAUAACGCAUGGAAACGUGUGCUAAUACCGUAUACGUCCUUCGGGAGAAAGAUUUAUCGGAGAUGGAUGAGCCCGCGUUGGAUUAGCUAGUUGGUGGGGUAAAGGCCUACCAAGGCGACGAUCCAUAGCUGGUCUGAGAGGAUGAUCAGCCACACUGGGACUGAGACACGGCCCAGACUCCUACGGGAGGCAGCAGGGGGGGAUAUUGGAAAAGGGGCGCAAGCCUGAUCCAGCCAUGCCGCGUGAGUGAUGAAGGCCCUAGGGUUGUAAAGCUCUUUCACCGGUGAAGAUAAUGACGGUAACCGGAGGAGAAGCCCCGGCUAACUUCGUGCCAGCCGCCGCCGUAACAC